rnacentral:rRNA from 1 species
UACGGGGGGGGCAAGCGUUGUUCGGAAUUACUGGGCGUAAAGGGCUCGUAGGCGGCCAACUAAGUCGGACGUGAAAUCCCCAGGCUUAACCUGGGAACUGCAUCCGAUACUGGAUGGCUUGAAUUCGGGAGAGGGAUGCAGAAUUCCAGGUGUAGCGGUGAAAUGCGCAGAUAUCAGGAGGAACACCGAUGGCGAAGGCGGUUCUCUGGGCCUGUACUGACGCUGAGGAGCGAAAGCGUGGGGAGCGAACAGG